rnacentral:lncRNA from 1 species
CUUAACGUUACACAUGAGAAUACACACUGGUGAUAAACCUUAUAAAUGUGAGGUAUGUGGAAGAGGGUUUAGUCAGAGUGGUAACUUACAGAAACACAUGAUAACACAUGCUAAAGAUACACCUUAUAAAUGUGAUGUGUGUGGUAAAGUGUUUAGGCAUUGUCAAAGCUUAAAGGGACACAUGAGAACACACACUGGACACGCAAUGACUAGAAAUAAACCUUAUAAAUGUGAUGUAUGUGGCAACAUGUUUAGUUAUCGUAAAAGCUUAAAGUUACACAUGAGAACACACACUGGAGAUAAACCUUAUAAAUGUGAGGUAUGUGGUAAAGGGUUUAGUCAGAGUGGUAACUUACAGACACACAUGAGAACACACACAGGAGAUAAACCUUAUAAAUGUGAAGUAUGUGGUAAAGUGCUAAGUUGUCGUAAAAACUUAAAGGAACAUAUGCAAUUACAUACUGAUGAUAAACCUUAUAAAUGUGAUGUUUGCGAUAAAGUGUUUAGUUAUCGUCAAAGCUUAAAAUUACACAUGAGAACACACACUGGUGAUAAACUUUAUAAAUGUGAUGUAUGUGGUAAAGGGUUUAGUCAGAAUGGUAACUUACAGAGACACAUGAGAACACACAGGAGAUAAACCUUAUAAAUGUGAGGUAUGUGGUAAAGGUUUUAGUGUGAAUGGUAGCUUACAAGAACACAUGAGAACACACACUGGAGAUGAACCUUAUAAAUGUGAUGUUUUUGGUAAAGUGUUUAAAUAGUCGUCGUCAAAUCCUAAAGGAACACAUGAGAACACAUACUGGUGAUAAACCUUAUUUAUAAAUGUGAUGUUUGCGAUAAAGUGUUUUGUUUGAAACGAAUUUUACAGAAGCAUAGUGGUGAACAUACUAGUGUCGGAAAAAUUUUCACAUGGGAAAUAUGUAACCAAGGAUUUAGUAGGAAACAGAAUGUACAUGUAGACACACAUAAGGACACACACUGGUGAUUUAACCUUUUAACGAGUAAAAUAUGUUACAAAGGAUUUAGUUUGAAACAGAAUUUACAGACACAUAAGGCAGCAACCAUUUGAUUUUCGGGGGGGGGGGG